AAAACAUUUAAAAAAUUGUCAUCAGAGAGCACACAAUGUUUCAAUAUAUCCCUUUUUGCCUAAAGGUCAGUAUCCUGUCUAGCAUGCCAGAAGUUUGAGAAGGCUAAGACUGGCACCGGAGUUGAAGCCCAUCACAUUUGUUUCAACAUGGCACAUGAUCGGGUGGACCUCAUCAGACCCUUCACGAAAUCCAGGAAUGGCAUCAGCUGGUGUCUGACGGUGACCGAUCACUUUACCAAGUGGGUGGAGGCGAUACCCAUUAAGGACGAGACUAGCGAGGCCACCUCCAAGGCGAUGGUGGACUAUCUUCAACACCCACGGUUCUCCUGAGGUCAUGACUUCGGUCUCCUGACUGAGGUCAUGAACGGUGGAAGAAGGUUUGGUGAAUGGACCAACCAGACCAUCAAGACUGCCAUGGGAAAGCCCCUUGAUACCAGGAAGGGUGGGAGAACAACCUGAAGGUAAUUC